CAGGAACAAGCUGGGCCCUAGCCCUGGACUAGACUCCUAAACCAACAUGAAAGAAAACAGCUAGAAUAUAGUCCAAGCAAGCAUAGGACACAAGUACAUGGAACGCUCUGAGGUGGCAGCUGGGGAGAGCCUGGUCCAUAGAAUUCCGUACUUCCAUCUCUUCUUCGUGAAGGAAUUGUAGCAAAAGACUGCUGCCCAGAACUGCCUCCAAUUGUCAGCUCACACACACCAGGCCUGAGCCAAGGAAGCCGAGUGCUAAGCAGCUUGUCUCCCGGUUCACGCAUGCGCUUACUUGUUAUUCUGUUUGCAGAGGAAGGCGCCAAGAAUACGCAUACACACUCCCCCUCGUGCAGAGACUACACAUUUGGAUGCGAUAAAUUUCUCUCUCUGACCAAAAAAAAAAAAAACCUCCAGGAACAGCUGAUGGGUGUGAACCGUGCUGAGGCUCCGGUAUGUUUCCAGAAACUUACUCCGGCACCUGCUCAGGACCUAGCCAUGUGAUGCAGGGCUGAGUCCUUCUACCUGGGUCUGGCUGCAGCAUAAGCUUGCGACUUGAGCUGGACAGAGAGUCUCUGUGUGUCUGAGGCAUGGGAACGCUCUGGCAAGUGUAUUUCCCACGUGGGACGUUGCGGUCUGGAGACUUGGAAUUGAGGCUGAGAGAUGAAGUCAGGGUGUAGAGGCCGUUUGGCCAUCACUCCUUAGAAAGACUUUGCCCUUACUGAAGACCAGAAAUUAUUUCCUCAUUGGAAACUUAAAGUGCUCAAGAGGAGGUGGGGAAAAUGUGAAAGGCCCCCUGGCUUUCCAGAUCCUGAGGCAUCUGUCACCCAAGCUGUACCUUCCUAGAAGCAGAGACAAGAUUUCUUCUCAAGGAAUUGCUUGGAUCCUGGCCCGGUAUGCGCCAAGUUCCCUGAAUGAGGUACUCAGACAGUGGGAGGGACAGCAACCGUCAAGACCAGCUAGGGCAGAACGUGCUAUAAAGCAAGAAGGGAGCCUUUGGCACUAAGGGAAGGAGUAAUAAUUCUAGGGGGUCAUUCUCCUUCCACGAAGUGUCCACGUGCUUUGAAGCCUUCUGCUCCUCUCUGGGCAGCAAAUCCUCUGCAGCCCUUCCAUGCCUAACAGAAUUCCUGGAUUCCUCUAUGUGGACACUAUCACGUCUCCAAUCAGAUAGAUGGCCGCCUCGACCAAGAGAUGAAAACAGGUUGGUAACUUCAUCUUUAAGCUUGUCACACAGCACUCCUUGUGAAUUAUGCUUCGUGGGCUACUGCCUUCCUUCAUGUCUUUUACUCUCGAGUGCAAGUACUAGACACUGCCCCAUAAAGAAACGUAUAUUAUACAAUCUCACGUAACAGUGAACCUGGGAUGCCCUAUUGAACAUUUUUACUGGGGAGCCUCAGAUUUAAAGAGACCACUAAACCAGUGUAGAUGUCAGGGAGCGUGAAGCUCGACUUCAUUUACGUAUUCACAUCGAAGACCAGCCUGGGAAUCCUCUGCAGCAAGCCUGAUGUGGCUGGUUAUGACAAACCCCUCCUUGUCACCACGAUCCUUGGUGGCUGAUUCUCUUAAGUCACAGGUUAGAUGGGGCUCAGGAUUGCCCAGAGCCACUGAGCAUAACAGAGAUAAAGGAAAUGAACAAGACCCGUCUAUCCUGCACACUCAGAGGCUUUUAUUCAGACGACUGUCACUCUCCUGAAAUGCAGCCCAAUAGCUGCCUCUCCUAAAACUCACAGGUCUGCACUACAUUUAAGAAGGCAGACUCUGGAGAUCUCCCUAGAGUUUAUUGGGUUUGGAUAAUUACACCCCGUACGUACCACUCCCGCAUCCUGAUUUACAAAGAUGUCAGGAGAGCUAGUUAUCAUCUCACACCCUGGACCCAUUAUUGCU
rnacentral:lncRNA from 1 species